CCUCGCGCCGCCAGGAGCAAGCGAGAGCGCUCCCGCUCGACCCCGCAGCUCCUCCAGCCGGCCACGCCCUCCCUCUCCCCCGAGCUCGCCUCACCCUCCUCUGAACCCACCUCCGCCGCCACUCCCACGCUAGAGCCCUCCCCGCCGGCCCCUCGCCGUACACGGCCGCCCGACGCCGUGAACCCCAUGGCCACCGGCCUCCCUAAGUAGGCUAACGCUUCGAGGGGCUGCCCCUCGACCUCCUCAACCUCCACGCCAACUCCAGCGAAUAGGAGCUUCACCAAGUCGUCGCCGUCAUCUCUUCUUCAACCUCGUCCGCCUCUCCGAUCCCCGUCGAGCCGCUCGCCAUCGACGCCCUCCGGCUACCUCGACCCCGGCAAAGAGCUCGCGGAAACAGACCCUCGUGGUCAGGUUGAUCGUGCUCCGACGUGGUCAAUAACCACUCGAAAUUGGUUUAGCGAUUGCUAAGGUGCAAUGUCUUGCACGUUUGUAGUCGGAUCGUCAAAGUCGGCUCCACCAAAUCGAUAGUUAUCAUCUCAUCGAAAUAUCGGGUCCCUCGCCUCUAUCAAGUGAUAUCAGUUUUCAGGUUCCUCGGUGAGAAUUUCCAGUUUUUCGUAGAUUAGAUUUAUUUUCUUACAUAUUGUCCAAGAAAAAGCCACAAAAAAGUUAGAUCUAUUUAUCAUUUAUCCAAGC